AGUGAACGCUGGCGGCAUGCCUAACACAUGCAAGUCGAACGGUAACAGGCCCGCAAGGGUGCUGACGAGUGGCGGACGGGUGAGGAAUACAUCGGAAUUUGCCCAGUCGUGGGGGAUAACGUAGGGAAACUUACGCUAAUACCGCAUACGACCUAACGGUGAAAGCGGGGGAUCAGCAAUGACCUCGCGCGGAUGGAUAAGCCGAUGUCGGAUUAGCUAGUUGGCGGGGUAAAGGCCCACCAAGGCGACGAUCCGUAGCUGGUCUGAGAGGAUGAUCAGCCACACUGGGACUGAGACACGGCCCAGACUCCUACGGGUGGCAG
rnacentral:rRNA from 1 species